GAGCCCCGAGAAGCAGCGAGCAGCACGGGGUGGGACCGGCCAACCGGAUACUCAGAAUGGACCGUUUUUCUUUCUCUUUUUACAGGUUUAAAAGGUUAACAGCGGAGUGCUCGAGAUACACAAAGCGACAGGCUUGUCAGGGUGAACUUGCGGGCUUCGCGUCUCGUCGAAACCUCUGGAACUGUCAGAAAAAAAAUUGAUUGAGAGUUAAGGUGUGGCUGAGGGUCUGUGUGAGGCUUCUGCACUGAAAAAUGUUACAAAACCGACUGUGUCUCCUCGAGAGUGGCCAGUCAGGGCCGAGACUCUUAUAUCUGCCAACGGCUUUAAAGAAUCUCUUCAGUCAUUUUCAUUAAGGAAGAUAUUACAUAACAAAUGUAUUGCCAUCUUGACGUGCGCAUCUUUUAGCUUAAAUCCUUCGCAGUAGCCCAGAUUAAUUGGAAUAUUACGCAGUUAAGAAGUAAAUCGGGUGUGUUUUUUUUUGUUGCUUGGGAGGUCGUAUUGGUUUCAUAAGUCUGAAAUGUAACGGACGUGGCAACUUUACAGUAGCCAGCCCUGCUGAAUGCCACAGGCAAACUGGGCGUGGGGGAAACAGUCCGAACAGAGCCUAAUAAUCCUCAAACCUCACCAAAGCGCGGCACAAAUUGCGCAUAUUUGAUAUAGUAUGACCGUAGUGACAAGUGCCUCGUUGGAGCCAGUGGAUUCACCUGAAUCAAAGUCAUACCAUCAGGAUCUACUUCCAGGAGUCUGCAGAGGUGUUAAUUGAUGGAGAUUUGUUUCAGGUCAGUGACUCGCCUGCCUGAUCCACUCCCAGGGAAUCGGCCUGUGAGUGCAUUAAGAGAUUGUUGAAGGAGGGAUGCAUAAGACUGAGAUGCAUGAGAGGAGAAGCACUUGCAGUAAGACGAAUCCACCUGACCCAACAGGAUGUGACCAUUGAGUUUUCUGCUACUAUGUAUUUCGAUGCCUGAGUAUGUGCAUCUAACCCUCAUUUCCUCCCUUUUUCCCCACCCAGAUGUGCCAGGCCAGUGCCACUAAACUCGGGUGGCCUGUACCUGUGCCUCUGCCAGCUGCUGCGCAAGCUGUGCAAGGUGAGAAAGCAGAACAGCAUCACAGAAAGAGACGAACAGGCAGCUGCUGCAAACAGAGAGGAACAUCAUCAAAGGAGUGCUGAGCCAGCCUACACAGCCCCAAUCAUAAUAUAUUUAUUAUUUACAGCAAAGACCUUAUUAUUAAGUGUCAAGCAUUUGAAAUUGGAAUUGAGGCGGUAUAAUUUUGUACUGUGCUACACUGAGAAGAAGAAAUGUGUUAUUAGUAAAAAGAAAAAUGUGUGUUUUGUGCAUUUUAAGCUUUUGUAACAUCUCAGUAAAACUACUGAAUUGAGAUCUCUUAAUGUUGAUUAACGACAUGAGGGUCCUGGAUGUCUCUUUUUACAACAUUAUCACAAAGAUUAAAUCAACAUUAAAUUACAUCACUGUAUAA